UAAGAAGGAAAUGAACUCCCCGGUGCUGAGACCAGAUCAGUGCAAAUGUGGCCGAGGGACUUGGGUUUUCCUUUUACUGCUGAAUCUGGUUUUCUUGAGUUUCAGCUGGCACCUGACAGAUGCUCCUAUUUUCUGAUGCAUGAAUGCACAAAGAAAUGAAGGACAGCCAGCUGGGAUGAGGUGCAGAGAGAGAGCAACACUCCGGCAGACUGGAAAAUCUUUACCUCAAAUGUCCUGAAUCCCCUGCCCGGUCCCAGAGCCCCUGCAGAUCCGACACACUGGGCUCCAAGGCUAAGUUCUGCCCGCAGCUAUGCACACCACCCCCCUUCCAUCCUUCAUCACUCCGCUAAAUUACCAUCACCUCCUUCUCCCUGCACCCACACCGACCUCUUCCUGUUUCCUCACUUCUCUCCCCAAGUUCGCAAUCCACAGGCCUUGUCUAUAAAGGUCCCAGGAUGUUCCUCUCGGACACAUAUUCCAAAGAGAGCCAAGCAAGA
rnacentral:lncRNA from 1 species